UGUGGAGCUGGCUGCGGCCGCCGCCGUAACACUGAGGCCACUGUUUGACCCCUUCCCGGGCCAGGCAGGCAGGAGCCCCUCACGUCCCCGGGAAGCGCCUCUCCCCGGCCUGAGGCGGGGAGCGAGGCCAGAGGCCCUUUCCAAACCUUCCCGCUGGCCUCGGGGAAAUGGGGUCGUGCUCUCUGCACCCCCGGGAAUAGCAAGAGCGCAAGUCACACAACAGACUUAUGCACCACUGGCCUACUUUUCGAGUAGGGUGGAAGAAAGCCAGCUGGAAGCCCAACUUUGCUCUCCACCCCUCUCUUUCAGAACAGAACCUUGUUCUCCCGGGCUAGGGAACUGCGUGCGGAUGGUGACCAGAGUUCCCCAGCCUAUAGGGGAAGUCAGCACAGCGUUUUUAUUGCCAAAUAUUUCUUUCCCUAGGAGAACAACGCAUUGAAACCGCUGAGUGGAGAUUGGAGUUCGUCCAGACAUAAACCAUCUUAAUGAACACUAAUAGAGAACUGCAAUUAUUGUUGACUUCAAAAUGCAAACAGGAACUUUAGACAGUGAUCCCUAUCAGCCCAUGAGGCCAGGAUUCAUGCUGUGCGCUGUUUUUGCUGUUGCUUAGCAAUGGAAAAUGAACUGUUCCUGCCUCUUAUCACUGGAGGUAGGGGUAGGACAAUGAGCUUUAUUGGACUGAAUAGGUAUAAAAUUAGUUUAUUCUUUCUCAUUUGGAGCAGGCAAUCGGCAGCAAAGAGAAUCAUUUGGACCAGGGGCCUUUCAGAGGUUAGGGGUGGUUUUCCUUUCUUGUUACCUCAGUAAAUCCUAACUGCUUUGUGUUUUUCUCCUCAGAUAAAGCUUGAACUUCUGCCACAAGUGUCCUUCACAAAGUGACAGUACAGAAAAUAUAUACAAAUGUAGACCAGCGUGGAAACUAGGGUUCCAGUAUGGCAUCGGAUGGCACAGCCAUAUACAUUCACAAAGUGGAAGACUUGUACAGCUAGCUGCUCCUUCCCCAAAGAGAGCAUUGGUGCUAUGGAGCAAAGGGGUCUUGUAGCUGAGCAGAGGGAUUUCCUUAUUCUGUGCAAGGAGUCUUUUCCUGCAGUCAUUUCACAGCCCUCUUCCAAGACAGCAAGGAGGUAGGCCUAAUUAUUGAGAAGUGCUGUCAUAUAGAAAGAAGGCAAUGUUAUAACAGAAGCAUAGAAAGAUUUGAGGACACUGUACUAUUGGCUUUGAAGAUGGAAGAAUAAACCACAAGCCAAGGAUUGUUGGCAGCCUCUACAAGAUGGAAGAGGCAGAUUCUUGGAUGGGCCCUCCAAGAAAGAAUGUAGUCCUGCUGAUACCUUGACUUUAGCCAUGUGAGCCUGAUUUUAGAUUUCUGACCUUCAGAACUAUAAGAGAAUAAAUACUGUUUUAUAAUUUGUAAUGUGUUGAUUACAGAGUCUUUGCAUGAUUUGUUUUAUUUGUAAAUU